CUACGGGUGGCUGCAGUGGGGAAUAUUGGACAAUGGGGGAAACCCUGAUCCAGCAAUGCCGCGUGUGUGAAGAAGGCCUGCGGGUUGUAAAGCACUUUCGGUUGGGAGGACUGCUUCUAGCACUAAUAUUGUUGGAAGUUGACGUUACCUUCAGAAGAAGCACCGGCUAACUCCGUGCCAGCAGCCGCGGUAAUACGGAGGUGCAAGCGUUAAUCGGAAUUACUGGGCGUAAAGCGCGCGUAGGCGGCUAGAUCAGUCGGGUGUGACAGCCCCGGGCUUAACCUGGGAACUGCAUCCGAUACUGGCUAGCUUGAGUACAGGAGAGGAGAGUGGAAUUCCACAUGUAGCGGUGAAAUGCGUAGAUAUGUGGAGGAACACCAAUGGCGAAGGCAGCUCUCUGGCCUGAUACUGACGCUGAGGUGCGAAAGCGUGGGGAGCAAACAGGAUUAGAUACCCCGGUAGUC
rnacentral:rRNA from 1 species